UACGUAGGGGGGCAAGCGUUGUCCGGAUUUAUUGGGCGUAAAGAGCGUGUAGGCGGCCAAACAGGUCAGCUGUGAAAACUCGAGGCUCAACCUCGAGACGUCGGUUGAAACCGUUUGGCUAGAGUCCGGAAGAGGAGAGUGGAAUUCCCGGUGUAGCGGUGAAAUGCGCAGAUAUCAGGAGGAACACCGGUGGCGAAGGCGGGACUCUGGGCCGAUACUGACGCUGGGAGGAAAGCGAA
rnacentral:rRNA from 1 species